GCUGCUGAAUCAGGAAUAAUAAAAGUGAAAACAAUAGCUGCACGGAACACUGAUAUUUUGGCAGCAUUGAAAGAGAACAGCUCAGAGGUAGUUCAGCCUUUUCUAAUGGGUUGUGGAACAAAGGAACCAAAGAUCACUCAGCUGUGUCUAGCAGCCAUACAGAGGCUCAUGUCCCAUGAAGUGGUUUCAGAGGCUGCAGCAGGAAACAUUAUUAAUAUGCUUUGGCAACUGAUGGAAAAUAGUCUUGAAGAACUUAAAUUGCUCCAGACAGUUCUUGUACUUUUAACAACCAAUACAGUUGUGCAUGAUGAAGCACUGUCCAAGGUAAGAAUUU